rnacentral:lncRNA from 1 species
UGGUAUAAAUGCCACUGUGGGUAAACAAAACAUGUCUUUUCCCUCUAGCCUGCCACUGUGAGUCGUUGUGGCAUGAUUUACUUGGAGCCCUCACAGUUAGGAUGGGAACCACUUGUGUCUUCAUGGUUGCAUUCACUGAAAGAACCUCUGUGUGAACCAGAACACCAAGCUCUUCUGAGAGGACUUUUUGAGUGGCUGAUAAUACCUUCUUUAAGGUUUCGCAAGAAAAACUGCAAGGAACUGUUUCCUACAAGUAAUAGCAAUGUGGUUGUGUCUCUCACUCGCCUCUUUGAAGUACUGCUCUGUAGUGUGGUAGAAAAUGAUCCUACUAGCAAGCACAUUCGUACUUGGAUUAUGGCUUGCUUUAUAUUCUCCUUAAUUUGGUCCAUUGGGGGAAGUUGUGAUACAGAUGGUCGUCUCACUUUUGAUGGUUUCAUACGAUUAACCAUAAUGGGGAAUAAUGAAGACCAUCCAGUCCCAGCUUGUGUGGGGAAAUGGGAAUGCCACUUUGAAGAGAAA